GUCCUUUUGAGUUUAAUUUAAGGUCUAACCUGCCCACUGAAUUUUUUAAUGGCCGCAGUAAUUUGACUGUGCAAAGGUAGCAUAAUAAUUAGUUUUUUAAUUUAAAGCUUGUAUGAAGGGUUGGACGAAAUAAAAUCUGUCUCUAUUUAAUUAAAUUUAGAAUUUAACUUUUAAGUUAAAAGGCUUAACUAUUAUUAAAAGACGAGAAGACCCUAUAGAUCUUUAUACUUUUUUUUAUAAUUUUAAUUAGGAAUUUUUAAUUUUUUAUAAAAAAAAGUAUUUUAUUGGGGUAAUGUAAAGAUUAAAAUAAUUCUUUUUUUUAUUAAACAUAAAUUUAUGAUUUGUUAAUGAUCCAAUUUUAUUGAUUAUAAGAUUAAGUUACCUUAGGGAUAACAGCGUAAUUUUUUUUGAGAGUUCUUAUCGAUAAAAAAGUUUGCGACCUCGAUGUUGGAUUAAAGAUUAUUUCAGGUGUAGAAGUUUGAAAAUUUUGGUCKGUUCGACCAUUAAAUCUUUACAUGAUCUGAGUUCAGACCGGUGUAAGCCAGGUCGGUUUCUAUCUUUAGUAAGUUAAAAUAUUUUAGUACGAAAGGACCAAUUAUUUAAUAUAUUUAUAUUUAAUUUUUGAAUAUUAUUAA
rnacentral:rRNA from 1 species